ACCGGCGCGGGCUAUGGCUGCGACUUCUCUAAUGUCCGCUUUGGCUGCUCGGCUGCUGCAGCCCGCGCACAGCUGCUCCCUUCGCCUUCGCCCUUUCCACCUCGCGGCAGUUCGAAAUGAAGCUGUUGUCAUUUCUGGAAGGAAACUGGCCCAGCAGAUCAAGCAGGAAGUGCGGCAGGAGGUAGAAGAGUGGGUGGCCUCAGGCAACAAACAGCCACACCUGAGCGUGAUCCUGGUUGGCGAGAAUCCUGCAAGUCACUCCUACGUUCUCAACAAAACCAGGGCAGCUGCAGAUGUGGGUAUGUGUCCUUCUGAGACCUCGACUGCUGUUCAGUUGAGGUUUAUAUGAGGCAAAGUCCAUUCUAAUUUAUGAUUUCUUUUUUCUGAUUAGGAAACCCAAGCAGAGGAGGCUAAUGUGAUCGAACUGUAUCCUAAAACUUUGUCAUAGGAAAUCAGACUAUAUCUUUCGGGGUUUAUAGACUA
rnacentral:sRNA from 1 species